AGGGAAUUAACUCAGUGGUAGAGUGUUAAUCUUACAAAUUAAAAGUCGGUAGUUCGAUUCUACUAUUCCCUA
rfam:Lichtheimia corymbifera JMRC:FST:9682, FST 9682, WGS project CBTN01000000 data, contig: SCAF00098